rnacentral:rRNA from 1 species
UAGACCAAGACCAAUGGGGCUCUCGGGCUCCUAAGUUAAGGUGACUCUGGAUAACUGUGCUGAUCGCAUGGCCUUAGCGCCGGCGAUGAAUCUUUCAAGUGUCUGCCUUAUCAGCUUUCGAUUGUAGGUUAUUCGCCUACAAUGGCUAUAACGGGUAACGGGGAAUCAGGGUUCGAUUCCGGAGAGGGAGCCUGAGAAACGGCUACCACAUCUAAGGAAGGCAGCAGGCACGUAAAUUACCCAUUCCCAGACCGGGGAGGUAGUGACGAAAAAUAACGAUGCGAGACUCAUCCGAGGCCUCGCAAUCGGAAUGAGUACACUUUAAAUCCUUUAACGAGGACCCAUUGGAGGGCAAGUCUGGUGCUAGCAGCCGCGGUAAUUCCAGCUCCAAUAGCGUAUAUUAAAGUUGUUGCGGUUAAAAAGCUCGUAGUUGGAUUACAGUUCCGGACUGACGGUUCACCGCCCGGUGCUUACUGUCACGCUCCGAGCAGCCUGAAACAUGGCCCCGCCGGCUCGCCUGGGGUGCUCUUUACCGAGUGUCCCGAGUGGCCGGCAUGUUUACUUUGAAAAAAUUAG